UACGGAGGGAGCUAGCGUUGUUCGGAAUUACUGGGCGUAAAGCGCACGUAGGCGGCUUUGUAAGUUAGGGGUGAAAGCCCGGAGCUCAACUCCGGAAUUGCCUUUAAGACUGCAUCGCUUGAAUCCGGGAGAGGUGAGUGGAAUUCCGAGUGUAGAGGUGAAAUUCGUAGAUAUUCGGAAGAACACCAGUGGCGAAGGCGGCUCACUGGACCGGUAUUGACGCUGAGGUGCGAAAGCGUGGGGAGCAAACAGGAUUAGAAACC
rnacentral:rRNA from 1 species